rnacentral:rRNA from 1 species
UACGUAGGGGGCUAGCGUUGUCCGGAAUCAUUGGGCGUAAAGCGCGUGUAGGCGGCCCGGUAAGUCCGCUGUGAAAGUCGAGGGCUCAACCCUGGAAUGCCAGUGGAAACUGUCGGGCUGGAGUCCGGAAGAGGCGAGUGGAAUUCCUGGUGUAGCGGUGAAAUGCGCAGAUAUCAGGAGGAACACCAAUGGCGAAGGCAGCUCGCUGGGACGGUACUGACGCU